rnacentral:rRNA from 1 species
CUUGGCGACCAUAGUGCUAUAGUCCCACCUGUUCCCAUUCCGAACACAGAAGUGAAAUGUAGUGACGCCGAUGGUAGUGCAACGAACGAUUGUGCGAGAGUAGGUCAUCGCCAAGC